rnacentral:lncRNA from 1 species
GGACUUGGUGACUUCAAUAGUAAAUACUCAUAGUCCUACUUGGACAGAUUGCCGCCAGCUCCUGAAUACUCUGUUCACCACUGAGGAAAGAAGAGACAUAAUUGAAAAGGCACAGAUAUAUUUGCGUGAGCAGGCCAGAGUGGGAAAUAUUCUUAAUGUUGACCGUCAUCUCCAGGACAAUUUUCCCUUGGAGGAUCCUAAUUGGGAUCCAAACAAUGCAAUUCACCUGGCCAGGCUUACCACCUACCGCCAGACGCUUGUGCAAGGUAUCCGCAGGGCAUGCCAGAAGCCCACUAAUAUGACUAAAGUCUCAGAAGUAGAACAGAAACCGAAUGAGAGUCCGGGAGACUUUUAGAGAGGCUGCAGGAAGCCUAUCGUAUAUGGACUCCUUUUGACCCUGAAGCCCCUGCAAACAGCAGAAUGAUUACUGCUACUUUUGUGGCUCAGUGCGCUUCUGACAUUCGUAAGAAAAUUCAGAAGUCAGAAGGCUGGGAAGGGAUGCUGAUGAGCCAAAUUAUGGCCAUUGCACGCCGAGUUUAUCGGAAUAGGGAUGAGGCUGAGAAACAAGAGAAGAAGAAGUGGCAGAAGGAAAAGAUGGUGAUGCUAGCCACAGCAGUGAAGCAAGACUACCGCCCUUUAAAUGGAGGGAGAGGGCGGGGAAGGAAUCCACCACUGGGAAGGAAUCAAUGUGCGAAUUGCAAGAAGGAGGGUCAUUGGAAGCGGGAGUGUCCUGAACCCCUGAGGUUGGAAGAAGUACGCCCAGGCCCAGGCCCAGGCUCCGGCCCAAGAAACCAGGGACGGGGACGGGGAAUGAUCCGAGAUGGAAGAUAUCAGAGACCUGGACAAGGACGGAGUAGAGACAAUUUCAUUGGACUGGCAGAGGAGGAUUUUACCCAAGACUAGGAACGACCGGACUCCAUAAAGUUAGGCUUCCAGGAGCCCACGGUCAAAAUUCAAUUAGGGAGCCAUUUAAUAGACUUUAUGAUAGAUACUGGCGCUGAAUACUCAGUACUCCCAGAACUAUUGCAGAAAAAGGCAUCCAAAAGUGUAGUCAUUAAAAGUGCCACUGGUCAGUCAGCUAAGAGGUCUUUCCUCCAACCUUUAGAAUGCCAGAUUGGGGGACAUCAUUUAACCCAUCAGUUUUUGUAUAUACCUGAGUGUCCAAUGCCUCUCUUAGGUAGAGAUAUGCUGUCCAAAUUGCAGGCCCAAAUCACCUUCACUCCUCGAGGUCCAGAAAUGAAACUGCCAUCAAAGGCAGCAGGAAUAAUUUCCCUCUCAGUACCUAAGGAACAAUCAUGGCGCCUAAUGUCAGCCCUGCAAGUCCAACCCACAUUGGAUACAGAAUUAAACAAGCUCCUCCGAACCCUACAAGUGCCACCAGGAGUAUGGGCCGAAAAUAGCCCACCAGGAAUGGCUAAGAAUAUAGCUCCAAUUGUAGUAACCCUAAAACCUAUGGCUACCCCUGUAUCUGUAAAGCAAUAUCCUUUACCCCGGCGAGCAGCAGAGGGCAUCCAGAAACAUUUGGACCGCCUAUUAAAAUAUGGUCUGCUUAAGCCCUGCCAAUCAGAAUGGAACACACCCCUUUUGCCUGUUCGGAAGCCUGGGACAGAUGAAUACAGGCCAGUACAGGACUUGAGGCUCGUAAACCAGGCUAUCGAGACCUUGCACCCAAAUGUACCAAACCCAUAUACCUUGCUGAGUUUGAUCCCACCAGAAGCAACAUUUUUACUGUAUUGGACUUGAAAGAUGCAUUCUUCUGUUGCCGGCUGGCACCACAGAGCCAACCUAUAUUUGCCUUCCAGUGGGAAGACCCUUUGACAGGAACAAAAGGCCAGCUAACCUGGACAAGAUUGCCCCAGGGAUUCAAAAAUUCCCCAACUUUAUUUGGCACUGCCUUGGCGAAGGAUCUAACAAGUUACCCCUCAAUACCUGGAAAAAGGUGGUUCUGCAAUAUGUAGAUGACCUUAUACUAGCGGCAAAGGAUUUUGAUACCUGUAAAGAAGGGACAGAGGAACUGCUCCACUUGCUCUGGGAAGCUGGCUACCGAGUUUCCCAGAAAAAGGCACAGUUAUGUUUAGAAAAGGUCAAAUAUUUGGGCUUUGACAUCUCACACCAACAACGAGCAUUGAGACCAGAGAGGAAAGAAGCUAUUUGCCUUAUCAAGGAACCUACCACAAGGAAACAACUCAGAGGAUUCCUGGGAACAGCAGGGUUUUGUAGACUAUGGAUACCUGAUUUCAGCAGUCUGGCCAAGCCCUUACAUGAAAGCACUCGAGGUGCAGAAAAGGACCCAUUCGUAUGGGGACCUGAGCAGCAACAAGCCUUUUUAGUUAUCAAACAACGACUUAUGGAGGCCCCAGCCCUUGGACUGCCUAAUUCGGAAAAACCCUUUCAGCUGUAUGUACAUGAACAGAAUGGGAUUGCAGCAGCAGUCCUGACCCAGAGAUUAGGAAGUUGGAACCGUCCAGUAGCUUAUUUGUCAAAACAAUUGGACUCAGUAGCAAAAGGAUGGCCUCCAUGCCUAAGGGCAGUAGCGGCCACUGCAAGCCUUGUCAAAGAAGCUGAUAAAUUUACCUUUGGCCAGACGAUGUAUGUGAAUGUACCUCAUGCUGUUCUGACACUCAUGGAAUAUAAGGGUAGUUAUUGGCUAACGAAUCCAAGGAUGGCUAGAUACCAAGGCCUAUUGUGUGAAAAUCCCAGGAUUCAUCUACGAGUAGUGAAUAUGCUCAAUCCAGCAACUUUGCUGCCCCUACCAGAGGUAGAUGAUGAAGAAUCACAUGAUUGUCUCCAAAUAAUGGAUGAAGUGUAUUCCAGUAGACCCGAUCUGAAAGAUGAACCAUUGAAAAAUCCAGAUGUUGUAUAUUAUACUGAUGGUAGCAGUUACCUGCAUGAAGGUGCCAGACGAGCAGGAUAUGCUGUGGUCACCAAUGAGGAAGUUGUGGAAGCUGAAGCUUUGCCUGCUGGCACCUCAGCACAAAAGGCUGAACUUAUAGGUUUAACUAGAGCUCUGCAAUUGGCAGCCGGAUGUAAGGCAAACAUCUAUACUGAUUCUAAAUAUGCCUUCUUAACCCUGCAUGCACAUGGAGCUCUAUGGAAAGAAAGAGGUCUAAUCGGAGCCCAUGGGAAGGCCUUGAAAUAUGGACCUGAAGUAGAAAUCCUGUUGGAAGCAGUAUGGGCUCCAGAACAGAUUGCUGUAAUGCACUGCAAAGGUCAUGGACGUGGAAGGGAUCCAAUAACCAGAGGAAAUCAUGCUGCUGACAAAGCAGCCCGAGAGGCAGCCCAGAAGCCUGUGGGAGGAUUUAUAGCAGCCCUCAUACCAGAGGUAGUUCCAGAAGAAAUUAAACCUCACUAUACCCCAGAAGAGAGGAAGUGGGCUGAACAGGAAGGAGCGGUUGUGAAGGACGGUUGGAUGAUCCUGCCGGACAAUAGGAUUUAUGUACCUCAUCACCUAGCAGGCACAAUUGUAAGAAAUUAUCAUGAAUCUACUCACCUUGGCGGUACUGCAACCAGAGAGAGUCUCAGUCGGAAGUUGUAUAUUAUUAACCUAUCACAAUUAGCAACUUGCAUUUCACAGAAAUGUGUUCUUUGUGCUAAAAACAAUCCCAGGCAGGGACCGGUACAACCUCCUGGAAUCCAACAUGUGGGAUACGUCCCCAUGGAAAGCCUAAUUGUGGACUUCACAGAGCUGGUCCCUUCUAAGGGAUUCAAGUACCUCCUUGUGUUUGUAGAUACCCUUACCGGAUGGGUUGAAGCUUUUCCCACCAGGACUGAAAAGGCACGAGAGGUAACUAAGAGACUCCUCACUGAAUUGAUCCCGAGGUUUGGAUUACCUAGAUGCAUUGGAAGUGAUAAUGGGCCAGCGUUCAUUGAUCAAGUAGUACAAGAAGUAUGUCGAGUCCUACAAGUGAAAUGGAGACUGCAUGCAGCAUAUAGGCCUCAAAGUUCGGGGAAAACUGAAAGAAUGAAUCGGACUCUGAAAACCCAAUUGGCAAAAUUAACCCAGGAAACAGGAUUGGGAUGGGUAGAUGUGUUACCCAUAACACUGUUUCGUGUUCGGUGUGCACCCACAAAAAGACUUAAGUUGUCACCUUUUGAGCUCCUGUAUGGGAGGCCACCCUCCUUUGUUCAGGAUAUUCCAGCUGACCUCAAACAAAUAGGAGACCAUGUGACACAGGGACAAGUGCAAUCUCUCUCCCGUGUUUUUGUUUCUCUUAACAGGUGGGCCCUCGAGCGCACGCCGUGCAGCAUUGCCGAGCCGAUUCAUCAGUUCCAGGCUGGCGAUAGCGUAUGGGUGAAAGAGUGGAAACGUGAUCCACUUGCACCUAAGUGGCGUGGGCCUUACACCGUCUUGCUCUCUACUCCAACAGCGGUGAAGGUAGCUGAGGUGACCCCCUGGAUUCAUCACUCCCGUUUGAAGAAGUCCGAAGGCAGUUGGACGUGCAAAGGUGACCCCUCUAAUCCUUUUAAACUGACUCUCUCCAAAAACCCCUGUAUCUAGCCCUACGGGGAACGGGCUAGGUCACGGGCAACAUUAGACGACUGGCCUGCUGCAGCCACAACCUGGAAGCUGGCUGACCUGCGCACGCCUGAAGCUUGAGGAGCGUCUGAACCAGCGAUUGUGAACAGGAAGAUUCUCUUAUACAAUUGAUUGACUGCCCCCCCCUGUGGAACAAUUAUCAGGGAUAUUACUCAUUGGGGAUCCUCGGGAUAUAUGUUUUGGUCUUGGUGGUUCCCCAUUUCUGUCAUUGGGGAAUUAUAUUGGGCCUAAUAUUUUUUGUUAUCACAAUAAGGUAAUCUUUUGUGGAAGAAAUGCAUAUACUAGACAUCAACAUGAUUUUAUUAUUAAUCCUGAUCCCUUGGGAAGGGGAAGGGUCCUUGAAUCUGACCAAAUUUGCUAAAUAUGGAUUCCGCCAUGACCACAAUAUGUGGGUAGGCUUAGCUGAGAUGGUAGCCAAUGUUACAAAUAGGACCAAUUGCCUUGUUUGCUCUCUUGGACCAGAUGAUUCAGAGGGAGGUAUGCCCUUAUUACCGAUACCAUUAAAUGCCAUUGGUAUGGUAAGCGAAAUGCCACACCAAACAGAAGUACAGAAUUUCCCCGGAUGGAACUCAACUAAACCAAUACGAGUUAUACCUGUGCAAGGGGAAUUCUGUGUACAUAAAUUAUCAGCUGCAGCUGAUUCUAUCAUGAUAGGCUCUUCUCAUUGCCACUAUACUUGGGAUUAUAUUAAGAAUAGUCAAACCUGGGCAAACGGUACUACCUAUCGAACUCGGAAUACCUUGCCCUGUGCACCUCCUUUUAUUCAUGCAUGGAAACUGGUGUGGAACAUAACUGUGACAGAAAAAGGCAAUCUAACAUACUGCACUGUGAACUCUAUGCCCCUUUUGAUAUUUCGCCUUAUGCACUCCACGUACCAAAAACCUCAGACCCGAUGGUUGUGGUGGAUAUGUGGAGAAUGGGCAUACAAGCAACUCCCUCCCAAAUGGAGUGGGACUUGUUUCCUGGGAUGGGUAUUACCACCAAUGUGGAUUAUGCCCACUAGUUCGGCAAAGCGUACACGAAGAAACGCUGAUAUUUCUCAUAUAGCAGGAGGAAGUACCCAAAGUUGGAGUGAUACUGAUGAUUGGCCACCAGAGCGCAUUAUAGCCUAUUAUGAGCCUGCCUCCUGGAAUCCUGAUGAGCUCAUACAAGGGGCACGGGAUCCUAUUUAUAAUCUAAACAGAAUAAUUCGAUUGCAAGCAGUAGUGGAACUUGUAACCAAUGCAACGGCCCAGAGUUUGAGACUUAUUGCACAACAGUUGGAUGAAAGUAGAGCCGCCAUUUUGCAGCUGAAAAUGGGAAUGGAUUAUGUACUUGCCAGGCAGGGAGGCCUAUGUGGAGUCUUAAACUUGACAGGGAAUGCCUGUUGCUUUAACAUUUCUGAUAAUGGUGAGGCAAUCCGUGUGUUGGCCACAAAGAUGGAGAGUAUAGCACAUGUCCCAGUACAAAUAUGGGAAGGAUGGGAUAUGGGAUGGCUCACCAAUUGGUUACCUAAUGUUGCGGGACUCAAAGGGAUACUAUUGUCUUGCUUGUUUUUCUUGACGGUAGUAGUAAUGGUUUUAUGUACGGUGCCAUGUAUCAUUUCAUGUUUUAGAAGUACAAUUAGCAAGAUGAUUUCAAAUGAAACUUUACCUCAUAUUAUGGCCCUAUACAGAGCUUUACCUCAGGAAUAUGACGAAGGUCAAGCUAUCAAGGACACUUGGGAUGAAGGUCCUUGAGCUUGAAAGGGGGGAAUGAGGCAUCUGAUCAAAAUCUGCUUUGAGCUUAAAAAAUUAUAUUUGUAAAUAUAUUUUUCUCUGCAAGGGAGAAGAGCAGCUGAAUACUCCGGCAGCUGUUCAAGGGGCCCCACUGCUAUAAAUAAAAGUAUUUCAAGGUUGUAAAAGGAAAUUAGAGCCAGAGAGCAAAAGGUCACACUGACCAGAAUACAAUCAAGCUGUAAAAACACAAUUAAGAACUGGUAAAUAGUGAAAUUUAUUGUUUAACAGAAGACUCGAGCCAUAAGGUUAAAGGUUAAAUGGAAGAGGUUGCUCUUAGAAACAGCUGCUGGUUAGGGAAAAAGGCCUCUCUCCAAACUGUUUUGAAGCUUCAGAGAAUUUACUAAGUUCCUUCUAAUUUGAAAAGGCCUUUCCUUCUAAAAAUCUAUCUAUGUUAUGUAUGAAAUAUAUUGGCUUAAAUGUGAUUAUGCAAAGGAUUUAGAAAGUAAGAAAUGUUAGAUUCUUAUGUUAGAUUCCUAUUAUGGUGGGUGAGAAGGUGAACUCAAGAUCUCUUUAAGAUAAAAAAAUUAGAAACCAUGCACCAUCUGCUUUAGCCAUCUGGUUUGCGGUGAAUAGGGCAACAGGGGCCAAAGGUUAUCUGGUAAUUGAGGUGCCUGGUCGAGGUAAAUGUAAGAUAUAUGGCUACUUGUCUGCCAUUUAUGGAUACAAGGAAAUAUAGCUUUUUGUCUCCCAUAAAAGGGAAUAGGAAAUGGGUGUAUCUUUUAUGAUUGGUUCUAGCAAACAACCAAUAGGAAUUUCAACCAGGCUGAUUGGACAGAGGCAGCCAAAGGAGGAGCAAGGGGGCUGGGCUGAGGAAAUAUAAGUGCUGGCCAUCAGGGCUGGAGUAGGCAGAGCUUUGGUAUCCAUAUACCACUGUGUCUCUCAUUUAUUUGUCUGACAAAUAAAUUAUUAUUUUAAUUUCUCUAUUGCUGCGUUGAAUAUUUCAUUCCAGCUAAGCGUUAACCACAAGCAGGGUGCUACACC